GUGCUUGCUUUGGCAGCACAUAUACUAUAAUUAGAAUGAUACAUAAAAAGAUUAGCAUGGCCCCUGAGCAAGGAUGACAUGCAAAUUUCUGUAGUGUUCCAUAUUUUU